UACGUAGGGUGCAAGCGUUGUCCGGAAUUAUUGGGCGUAAAGAGCUCGUAGGCGGUCUGUCGCGUCUGCUGUGAAAACUCAGGGCUUAACCCUGAGCUUGCAGUGGGUACGGGCAGACUAGAGUGCGGUAGGGGAGACUGGAAUUCCUGGUGUAGCGGUGAAAUGCGCAGAUAUCAGGAGGAACACCGGUGGCGAAGGCGGGUCUCUGGGCAACAACUGACGCUGGAGGAGCGAAAAGCCGUGGGGAGCGAACAGG
rnacentral:rRNA from 1 species